ensembl:lncRNA
ACAGGUUGUAACAUUAUUAAUGGAAUAGAGUGUGUUCAGCAGGCCUACAGGUUGUAACAUUAUUAAUGGAAUAGAGUGUGUUCAGCAGGCCUACAGGUUGUAACAUUAUUAAUGGAAUAGAGUGUGUUCAGCAGGCCUACAGGUGUGCCUGGGCCUACAGGUUGUAACAUUAUUAAUGGAAUAGAGUGUGUUCAGCAGGCCUACAGGUGUGUCUGGGUAAAAGAGUAGGCUAACUGGAAAAAGACUGUUCAAUUGUGUUGGUAACAAAUGUCAGGAUUGCUGUUGAUCUCUUUACACGUAUGGGUACAAAUCCCCUGUCUAUGCGGAUUGCGAGAUGAGUGGAAGUCACAAGACAUUUGUGUUACACAAUCUGGUCCUGAUAUAACCUGAUAUCUAUCUGUUUUGGAUAAA